rnacentral:rRNA from 1 species
AGUGAACGCUGGCGGUAGGCCUAACACAUGCAAGUCGAACGGCAGCACAGUAAGAGCUUGCUCUUACGGGUGGCGAGUGGCGGACGGGUGAGGAAUACAUCGGAAUCUACUUUUUCGUGGGGGAUAACGUAGGGAAACUUACGCUCAUACCGCAUACGACCUACGGGUGAAAGCAGGGGAUCUUCGGACCUUGCGCGAUUGAAUGAGCCGAUGUGGGAUUAGCUAGUUGGCGGGGUAAAGGCCCACCAAGGCGACGAUCCGUAGCUGGUCUGAGAGGAUGAUAGGCCACACGGGAGCUGAGGCACGGUCCAGGGUCCUACGGGAGGCAGCAGUGGGGAAUAGUGGACAAUGGGCGCGAGCCUGAUCCAGCCAUACCGCGUGGGUGAAGGAGGCGUUCGGGUUGUAAAGCCCUUUUGUUGGGAGAGAAAAGCAGCAGGUUAAUACCCCGCUGUUCUGACGGUACCCAAAGAAUAAGCACCGGCUAACUUCGUG